rnacentral:lncRNA from 1 species
GUUUUAUGUAAUGAAAAAAAAAUACCAAGAUAGUGUUAAUAUAAUAAAUUCUUGUUAAAAACAAUAAAGAAAAAGAAAAGUAACCUUAUUCAACAACCGAUGAUUCAUAACGAAGGUUUAUCGCCAACAACGAUAACAACACAUGCAAUGCAUUUGCCAAAUGAACUAUAAAGUCCAAAUUAUCCUGCUUUACCAUCGUACGGUUUUAUAAAACAUACAAACGGAUGUAUAUUUUCUUUUGACAGCAGAUGUUAUGUUCUGGAUAACGUCAGCAGCAGAUGGAAAAUUAUUUUCCGAGAGUUUAAAGUCCAAAAAGAUAAAAAUGUCCAUGGUUUACUGAAAG